UACGUAGGUGGCAAGCGUUGUCCGGAUUUAUUGGGUUUAAAGGGUGCGUAGGCGGCAUUUUAAGUCAGUGGUGAAAUACUUCAGCUCAACUGGAGAGGUGCCAUUGAUACUGGGAUGCUUGAGUACUGAUGAGGUAGGCGGAAUGGACGGUGUAGCGGUGAAAUGCUUAGAUAUCGUCCAGAACACCGAUAGCGAAGGCAGCUUACUAAGGAGUAAACUGACGCUGAGGCACGAAAAGUGUGGGGAUCAAACAGG
rnacentral:rRNA from 1 species